UACGUAGGGGGCAAGCGUUGUCCGGAAUCAUUGGGCGUAAAGCGCGCGUAGGCGGCCCGGUAAGUCCGCUGUGAAAGUCCAGGGCUCAACCCUGGAAAGCCGGUGGAUACUGCCGGGCUAGAGUCCGGAAGAGGCGAGUGGAAUUCCUGGUGUAGCGGUGGAAUGCGCAGAUAUCAGGAGGAACACCAAUAGCGAAGGCAGCUUGCUGGGACGACACUGACGCUAAGGCGCGAAAGCGUGGGGAGCGAACAGG
rnacentral:rRNA from 1 species